CCUACGGGAGGCUGCAGUGAGGAAUAUUGGUCGAUGGACGAGAGUCUGAACCAGCCAAGUAGCGUGAAGGAUGACUGCCCUAUGGGUUGUAAACUUCUUUUAUAUGGGAAUAAAACAGGGUAUGCAUACCCUCUUGUAUGUACCAUAUGAAUAAGGAUCGGCUAACUCCGUGCCAGCAGCCGCGGUAAUACGGAGGAUCCGAGCGUUAUCCGGAUUUAUUGGGUUUAAAGGGAGCGUAGGUGGAUUGUUAAGUCAGUUGUGAAAGUUUGCGGCUCAACCGUAAAAUUGCAGUUGAAACUGGCAGUCGUGAGUACAGUAGAGGUGGGCGGAAUUCGUGGUGUAGCGGUGAAAUGCUUAGAUAUCACGAAGAACUCCGAUUGCGAAGGCAGCUCACUGGACUGCAACUGACACUGAUGCUCGAAAGUGUGGGUAUCAAACAGGAUUAGAUACCCUAGUAGUC
rnacentral:rRNA from 1 species